rnacentral:rRNA from 1 species
UAGGGAAUCUUCGGCAAUGGACGGAAGUCUGACCGAGCAACGCCGCGUGAGUGAAGAAGGUUUUCGGAUCGUAAAGCUCUGUUGUAAGAGAAGAACGAGUGUGAGAGUGGAAAGUUCACACUGUGACGGUAUCUUACCAGAAAGGGACGGCUAACUACGUGCCAGCAGCCGCGGUAAUACGUAGGUCCCGAGCGUUGUCCGGAUUUAUUGGGCGUAAAGCGAGCGCAGGCGGUUAGAUAAGUCUGAAGUUAAAGGCUGUGGCUUAACCAUAGUACGCUUUGGAAACUGUUUAACUUGAGUGCAAGAGGGGAGAGUGGAAUUCCAUGUGUAGCGGUGAAAUGCGUAGAUAUAUGGAGGAACACCGGUGGCGAAAGCGGCUUUCUGGCUUGUAACUGACGCUGAGGCUCGAAAGCGUGGGGAGCAAACAGGAUUAGAUACCCUGGUAGUCCACGCCGUAAACGAUGAGUGCUAGGUGUUAGACCCUUUCCGGGGUUUAGUGCCGUAGCUAACGCAUUAAGCACUCCGCCUGGGGAGUACGACCGCAAGGUUG